CAAUGUGGGUGUUCAUGACUUACUAUGUCAUAGGAUUUGAUCCAAACGUCGAAAGGUUCUUUAGACAGUUUCUGGUCUUCCUACUUAUCAAUCAAAUGGCAUCUGGUCUUUUUCGGUUCAUUUACUGGAUUGACUCGACAAAUGAUCAUCGCAAACACUGUUGGAUCUUUUGCACUUCUUAUGAUUAUGGUGCUCGGUGGAUUCGUUAUAGGAAGAGAUGAUGUGAAGAAAUGUGGAAGAAAUGGUGGAUGUGUGGAUACUGGUCAUCACCGUUGAUGUAUGCACAAAAUGCAGUAUUGGCAAAUGAAUUCCUUGGCAAAAGUGUUGGAAUAACAAAUUAAAAUGCUAGAAUAAAUAAGGUUAAUAGCAUGAGUUUUAGAAGUGCAAGGGUUAUAAGUUUAGAAGGUGAAGAGAUAUAGAUUAUGGAAGAAUAGGAGUUACUCACUCCUUUAUGAUAUUUUAUAUUUAUGACAUUUAACGAGGAGUUUAAUUUGUGACUA